rnacentral:rRNA from 1 species
UUCCUAGAGAAAAAUAAAUUCUAGGUACCCCCUGCCCAAUGAAAACUUUUUAAAUGGCCGCAUAAGUGCUAAGGUAGCAAAAUAAAUUGCCACUUAAUUAGUGGCUAGUAUGAAUGGGGAAACAAAAAAGAAGCUGUCUCUAAAGAACCAAUAAAAAUUAACCUUCAAGUGAAAAGGCUUGAAUGAAAUCAAAAGACAAAAAGACCCUGUCGCGCUUAACCAUUUUCUUUUUCAAAAAACAGAAAAAAGUUUAGUUGGGACGACCGCUGAUCUUAAUAAACACCAGCUUUUUUUUCGGCACACAUGCCACAUUCUUGACCCUAAAAAGAUCAAAGAAAAAAGCAACCGCAGGGAUAACAGGCUAAUUUUCUCAAGAGAGCCCAAAUCGACUGAGUAGAUUGGCACCUCGAUGUUGGCUUAGGGAAACUCCCAGAUGCAGCAAUCUGGAAAGGAGGUUUGUUCAACCUAUGACCCCCU